GACGAACGCUGGCGGCGUGCCUAAUACAUGCAAGUAGAACGCUGAAGAGAGGAGCUUGCUCUUCUUGGAUGAGUUGCGAACGGGUGAGUAACGCGUAGGUAACCUGCCUUGUAGCGGGGGAUAACUAUUGGAAACGAUAGCUAAUACCGCAUAACAAUGGAUGACCCAUGUCAUUUAUUUGAAAGGGGCAAAUGCUCCACUACAAGAUGGACCUGCGUUGUAUUAGCUAGUAGGUGAGGUAACGGCUCACCUAGGCGACGAUACAUAGCCGACCUGAGAGGGUGAUCAGCCACACUGGGACUGAGACACGGCCCAGACUCCUACGGGAGGCAGCAGUAGGGAAUCUUCGGCAAUGGGGGCAACCCUGACCGAGCAACGCCGCGGGAGUGAAGAAGGUUUUCGGAUCGUAAAGCUCGGUUGUAAGUCAAGAACGAGUGUGAGAGUGGAAAGUUCACACUGUGACGGUAGCUUACCAGAAAGGGACGGCUAACUACGUG
rnacentral:rRNA from 1 species